rnacentral:rRNA from 1 species
AUAUCAAUAAGCGGAGGAAAAGAAACCAACAGGGAUUGCCCUAGUAACGGCGAGUGAAGCGGCAUCAGCUCAAAUUUGAAAUCUGGCUCUUUCAGGGUCCGAGUUGUAAUUUGCAGAGGGCGCUUUGGCGUUGGCAGCGGUCCAAGUUCCUUGGAACAGGACGUCACAGAGGGUGAGAAUCCCGUACGUGGUCGCUGGCCUUCGCCGUGUAAAGCCCCUUCGACGAGUCGAGUUGUUUGGGAAUGCAGCUCUAAAUGGGAGGUAAAUUUCUUCUAAAGCUAAAUACUGGCCAGAGACCGAUAGCGCACAAGUAGAGUGAUCGAAAGAUGAAAAGCACUUUGGAAAGAGAGUCAAAUAGCACGUGAAAUUGUUGAAAGGGAAGCGCUUGCAGCCAGACUUGCCUGUAGUUGCUCAUCCGGGCUUUUGCCCGGUGCACUCUUCUGCGGGCAGGCCAGCAUCAGUCUGGGCGGUUGGAUAAAGGCCUCUGUCAUGUACCUUCUCUCGGGAAGGCCUUAUAGGGGAGGCGUAAUGCAACCAGCCUGGACUGAGGUCCGCGCAUCUGCUAGGAUGCUGGCGUAAUGGCUGUAAGCGGCCCGUCUUGAAACACGGACCAAGGAGUCUAACAUCUAUGCGAGUGUUUGGGUGUCAAGCCCGAGCGCGUAAUGAAAGUGAACGGAGGUGGGAUCCCUUAAGGGUGCACCAUCGACCGAUCCUGAUGUCUUCGGAUGGAUUUGAGUAAGAGCAUGGCUGUUGGGACCCGAAAGAUGGUGAACUAUGCUGAAUA